UUUGAUUAGGAUUUAAUUAGAAUUUGAUUAUGAUUUUUUAGGAUUUGAUUAGAAUUUAUUUAAGAUUUGAUCGAGAUUUAUUUAAGAUUUGGUUAGGAUUUUAUUAGGAUUUGAUUAGGAUUUGAUUAGGAUUUUUUAGGAUUUGACUAGGAUUUAAUUAAGGUUUUUAUUUUAAUAUUUUAUUAAGAUUUCUAUUUUAGUAUAUUUUAAAUUCUAUAUUAUUUUAUUUUUGAAAUUUUGAUUGAAUUUGAUUUGAUGUUUGAUUAUAUUUGCUAAUCUUUAAUUAUAAUUUUUUAAAGAAUCUAUUAGAGUUGUUAAGACUUGUUGCAAUUUUCUUUUUAUCUUCUACGGUCAAGUGCUUGGUGCAUUCCCAAGCCAAACGCCAUGUAAUAUAAUAAUGUAAUACAAAAUUGAUGUAGAAAUAUAUAUUUUCUUCAAGGCUUCAAAAGAUGCUUCAACUUCUUUGUUCCAUUCAAGUUUGUCUUUACAUGUCAUAAGUAAAAAUUCUUGAUUAAGAUCUAGUAAUAAUUAUUAAAUUUCAAAAAAUAUUAUUUAUUUUU
rnacentral:lncRNA from 1 species